ensembl:lncRNA
CAUGCCAAGAAAAAUAACCCGCUCCUCAGAAUCAUUGAGAAUUGAUGGGGAUCGUCAGGAUGGCAUAUAUGGUCCCUUGCCCUCAAGCAGUUCCCUUGGAUGCUUUGCUGAAGAAUACGCAAACUCAGAAGAGAUGAUUAAAAACCAGCAAGCCACUGGUACCAGAACCAAACCAACACAAAUAUCACUGCCAACGAUGCUUGCGUGAUGACCAUCUCCAUGUGGUGGAAUUAAGGUUUACUGUGUCAUGCACAUUUAGCCUUCCAGGAGGUCCUUACCUACAUAACAGGAGUCCUUGGCUGAAGAUGGGAAGAAUGGAUGUGAUUCAAAAUGCAUGGCAGCUAGGUCAGUAUGAAGGCUUAU